rnacentral:tRNA from 1 species
GGUCCCGUAGCUCAGUUGGAUAGAGCAACAGCCUUCUAAGCUGUGGGCCACUGGUUCGAAUCCAGUCGGGAUCA